AAAUGCCCAGCUCGCCCUUUCCAUCCACAUUCCUCUGCUCAUUCAACAGAACCAUCUGGUGUGUGCCUACCAUGUGCUGAGGACUUAGAAGCAACACCUCAGUCAUUUUCCUUGGGGAUCUCUCAGUCUGUCAGCUGUGGUGAUAGGGACAGGCAACCCAUAAGACAGGUGGGGAAGGGAGCACCGAAAGUCAAUGAAGAGAUGUGAUCUGGAGUGAUUUACUACCAGGCCAAGUGACAGUCACCCUAUUUUGCUAUUUUUUAAUUACCAUUUCGAAUUAAUAAUGUGUCUCUUCCCACGCAUCCCCCUCAGAGUGGGGCGUAAACACCUUUGUAUGUGACUGUGCAGAGCUUUGAAGCUCCCAGAACAGCAGCCCUCCUGCCUUGCCUUCUCCCCAGGUAAUGUGACCCAGGCCUGUCCUUGGCUGCAGCCACCAACCCCACCCGGAGCGGCUGUCUGAACUGCCUGGCCUGCCUGGGUCUCCACGAAGGCCAGGAUCAGGCAGAAGGCGAUGGAGGCACCUCCCGCCUUUGCUUCGUUAGUCCCAGGACGAGCGGGCCCGCGCGUACCCGGAGAGGGGCGGCGGCGCGGGUGGCCUGGCGGGUCCCGGGGCCUCGGUUCGCAUCGGAGUCCCCUCUGUGCUCGCCCUGCAGCCGCUGCCCGAGAGGUCUGAGUCGCCACCAGCUGUGUCCGCGGGGAUGUGGGGAGCGAGAUGGGAGGGGUCGCCCGCUAGUCGUCCCCGCCGGACACCGGGCACCGCGUAGCCUCAGAGAGCCGCCCGGACGCGGGGCCGCCCUGGGGAGCGGGUGAGGCCGAGGACCAGGGGGAAGGAGGAGCCCGUGGACGGCUGCAGCCCCAGAUAAGAAGCUACAGCAUCUGUCAAGAGCCGUAUGUAGCUUGAGAUGACUACCUGAAGAUGUAUCAUGGUAUCAGCUGGUUAGUUAAGAAGUCGUUUUCCAGCUUCAACUGGCAAGUAACAAGCCAAGCAAGAAUUUCAAUGGAAAAUUACAGAGAUACUAACAGGUUUGAGUACUUAUGAAUACAAAAUAAAUAAACGGAUUUAAAUUACUUUAUUAUUACAAUGCAGAAAUGAGGAAGUGUAAUAGCCAGCUAGUCUUGGAACAUGGCACUGUGAAUGAAAUGAUUAAUUGCAUAUUCAUCUGGUCUCAGAUACAGGACAUUCUCUUGCAUAGGUUAAAUGUAUUAAUGGUAGAGAAUUAUGCAAAAAAUACUCAUUUUCUCCAAUACCAGAACAUACAGGAAGCAAGUAAAGUGAGUGCCUUUUUACCAAUAGUACCAGUAGAUAAGAAGAUAAGAUACAGAUAAUAAAGCACAGAGCAUUGCACAGAUCUACACCAAUGGAUUGGAAUGGAAUGUAGGAUUCUCUUCUUGCUGUGGACACCAUCAAAAUGUGAGAUCACUUCUCUGCUCAAUAGGACAAUCAUACUGAUUCCUUAGGAAGACAUAUAGGAAUCAGUAGAGGGAGAUCCUACCCUGGAAUCGUUUGAUGUCCUUGGGUUAUCUUCCUCUACAAAAAGGGCUAGUUGAAAUAAUGACAUGUGGGAGAUCAGCACUCCAAGUCAAAAUUGCAAAACAGAAGAAAAUUCCAGAAUUAUAUCACUGUUAAGAUAGCAACAAAUAAAUAAUUUGCACCCUACAACCCAUGUGUGAAUUUAAUUCUGGAAAACCCAAUCUGAGACAGGGACAUCCAUCACCAUGUGAAAAAGCCUGGGAUAGUCUGCUGGAAGAAAAUGUAACUUGCAGAGAAUAGAACAGAUAAACCUUGCAGUGUACCCAGUUGGAUUUCAGAACAUUGAAGAGCAGCAGCUUUUAUGGGAAUAAGAGUGUCCCUUACAGGUAGUAAGAAAAUGCUGCAUUCAUUGGCAAAUUAAAAACAGAACACAACGACUAUGGCAGAUUUCUCACUGAUCUGGCUCAUCCCAUGAGGAGGCAUCACGUGCUCUUCACCCCCACCACUUCCGCAGCUUGACCAUCUGAGUUUUGUACGUAAAAUUUCCUGGGACACUACUUGCUUUAAUGCGGAGCCUGUUGGGUUUUCUGCAUUAAAUUGCUUUCUAAAUUUAUAGGGAAGUAUUAUAUUUACUGUUAUAUAAUAUAUUUUAAGAUCUUUAAAGCAAACUUUUAUUAUAUGACAAUUAAUAAAAUUAAUAAUGCCUUUUGUUUUAGACACAUUCUGGGCCUAAAAUUCAAGGAUGACUUUCAAAUGGAAAAAUAAUAUCAGUGAGAAAAAACCAUUCCCCAAGUCUCUAUGGAGGCUUCUGUGUUUAAAUGAUUUAAUGUAACUGCGGAGUGGCCAUAUCUGGGCCUCUUCUCCGAGAUCUCCAUAAACUCUCUUUCCUGAUACCAUAAAUUCAGAAAGAAAAAAUGUUAUGUUAGAAGCUAGAAAAUCAUACUUUUACUUUAUUUAACUGAGGCUUUAAGAAAAACUUAAACAUACAAACUAGCACUUGCUUAUGGUAAAUUUUUGACUACUGAAAGUUGUUGCCUUAAGUGAGAAAAAGUGAUGCCAUGACUAAAUAGGAAAACAAGAGUAAGUGUGCAUGAAUUCAAAUAUUUUAUCUAUAUUCAGAAAGUUACAAAAAUGGAAAAAAUAUUUCUAUAAUCACCAGCUGAGAUCACAGGGUAAUAUGUUUAUAAUACAUAGUGAUAAUAAACCUCUCAUGGUUUGGGUGUUUGACAACAUAUAGAGAGUCACCCUAUCAUUUUGAGUAAAAAUAAUCACAAAUAUUACAGAGCAACUAGAAUUAACAAGAGGAAUUUUUCUUAUUCUUUCCUUUCAUAAUGUUUCAACAAUUUUUUUCUAAGGUUGUAGUUUAAACAUAAUAAUGGCUGUUAAAAUAUCCAGCAUUUGAUGACACGAACAAAAUCAGAACUUUCAAUUAAGGAGCAUCCUUAAGUGAGAGAUUUACCUAAAAAAUUAUUUAUAUGAUGUUAAAACCCUGUAUUUUGCAAGAAAGACACAAACAAUGUAAGUGAAUUUCUAACGUUCCAACAACUAAUGAGUAUCAUUAGUUAAAUCAUUAGAUAAAUUAUUCUUAAUGGUUAGAUCUAGUUGAAAAUUAACUAGAUAAAUUCAAUAUCUUGGGCCAUCACUAGGUUUUGUCAUCUUAAAAUGAUCUCUAACUCUGUUAGAGUAUGAAAUGAGUAUCAAAACCAGAGUACACGUUUCCUAAAUAGUUUUCCAAAUCCCAGACCCAUGCUCCUUUCAUGCUGCACACUCCUGUCAUAUACUUGUUUCAAAAGAUCAAUUUCAGAUGGACACAUACAUUUCAAGUGCGCAUUUAUUGCAUUGAAGUGGAUCUGUGAGGUAUGUUUGUAUUUUUUUGUCCACUACUGUGAACUCAACAGGAAACAAGAAGCAUCAGCUAACACAGUACCUAAUUUUAGACAGAUGUGAAAUGAUGCUGAAUUGGUGAAUGAAUGCAUCACAAACCUUGUGUCUGUUUUUGAAUAGUCUUCAUUGAAAUAAUUCAUUAUCAUGUAUAUGUAUAUACAGAAACAUCUUUUUUGUGUUUUCAUUCUUUCAUCGAUGAGAGAAAAUGAACAUUAAGCAGUCAAAUAAUAGAUCCAGAAUAUAAACAGGUAGUAAUAAUUCAGUUUCUAAUAUUUUGUUUAAAAAUGAGCUACUCAAGCUCAAGGAGAUAUCCCUAAACUGAGGAUGGCUUGAAAAAUCACAACUUUACAUAAAAUUUUAAAUCAUCCACACAAAUGAGAUCAUAUUGCUGUUUACAUUGUCAGGUGUCUUAACUCAUGUCACCGAUAAGUAGAAAAUGGGUAUAAGUGCUGGCACUGACUAAGUCAAUAAAAAUGAACUUAUGUGAAUUACUUAAAUAUUGUAAGAUAUGAAAACAUUUUAUAAUUACCCAGACUUUAAAUAUUUGUGUGUUUCAUUUAAAGGUCAUAUGUGUAUUGCUAUGUUUUUGCACAGAGCUGGGAACACAUGAGUGGACACGGUUUUAAAAUAGUUCAGUAUCUUUCAUUCAGAAAUUAGACACACUAAUGACUUUCAAGUGUGACUAUGGAAUAAUUAUUUGUUUUAUAACUGCAGUGCUCCUUUCACUCAUUUAUGAAUUGCUUUUUUUUUAUGCUCCUGAAUUUUAAAUUUUUUGCUAGAAGCCUGGAUUCUCAUUGAGCACUCAUCAAGGAAGUGUCCUGAUGCAAUGUUCUUCUUUUUCAUAUAUACCCACAAACGAAGAUUUCGUAGAAAAGAAGCCUAUAGAAAUAAAAGGCAUUAUGUGUGUUUAUUAUGAGAAGUAGAAAAAGGACAAACGUGGAGGGCAUAUUUGAGGAGUCUAAUUUGUCCAUAGGCAAUACAACCAUGUCUGUUCUGGCUGACAAACUCAACUAUUCAUUUGUUCAAGAGC
rnacentral:lncRNA from 1 species